rnacentral:rRNA from 1 species
GCCCAGCUUGCUGGGCGGAUUAGUGGCGAACGGGUGAGUAAUACGUGAGUAACCUGCCCCUGACUCUGGGAUAAGCCUGGGAAACCGGGUCUAAUACUGGAUACGACCUCCUGCCGCAUGGUGGGGGGUGGAAAGGGUUCACUGGUUUUGGAUGGGCUCACGGCCUAUCAGCUUGUUGGUGGGGUAAUGGCUCACCAAGGCGACGACGGGUAGCCGGCCUGAGAGGGUGACCGGCCACACUGGGACUGAGACACGGCCCAGACUCCUACGGGAGGCAGCAGUGGGGAAUAUUGCACAAUGGGCGAAAGCCUGAUGCAGCGACGCCGCGUGAGGGAUGACGGCCUUCGGGUUGUAAACCUCUUUCAGUAGGGAAGAAGCGCAAGUGACGGUACCUGCAGAAGAAGCGCCGGCUAACUACGUGCCAGCAGCCGCGGUAAUACGUAGGGCGCAAGCGUUGUCCGGAAUUAUUGGGCGUAAAGAGCUCGUAGGCGGUUUGUCGCGUCCGCUGUGAAAGCCCGGGGCUCAACCCCGGGUCGGCAGUGGGUACGGGCAGACUAGAGUGCAGUAGGGGAGACUGGAAUUCCUGGUGUAGCGGUGAAAUGCGCAGAUAUCAGGAGGAACACCGAUGGCGAAGGCAGGUCUCUGGGCUGUUACUGACGCUGAGGAGCGAAAGCAUGGGGAGCGAACAGGAUUAGAUACCCUGGUAGUCCAUGCCGUAAACGUUGGGCACUAGGUGU